AGCUCUGUGUUCUGUUCUCAGUCAUGGCUCAGCACCCAACCCAGAGGCCUGAGCUCCUUCAGACACCUUCAGCUGUGCACUCUUUCAUGGAACCAAUAGUCAUGGAAGAUGAUUUUUCUGUCUAGUUCAACACUUAGUUUCCUGCUGAAGACCAAGGCGUGGAAGCAAAUUUACUGAGCCAAGCUUGUCAAGUGGAAUUCCUCGUUGGAUUUCUCUGUAUACAUGAGCUCCAACAUUCUUAAUCUACUCAACUGACAGAGACUUAAAA
ensembl:lncRNA